AUGCAGUCGAGCGGUAAGGCCCUUAAGGGGUACACGAGCGGCGAACGGGUGAGUAACACGUGAGCAACCUGCCCCUGACUCUGGGAUAAGCGGUGGAAACGCCGUCUAAUACCGGAUACGACCCGCCACCUCAUGGUGGAGGGUGGAAAGUUUUUCGGUCAGGGAUGGGCUCGCGGCCUAUCAGCUUGUUGGUGGGGUAACGGCCUACCAAGGCGAUUACGGGUAGCCGGCCUGAGAGGGCGACCGGCCACACUGGGACUGAGACACGGCCCAGACUCCUGCGGGAGGCAGCAGUGGGGAAUAUUGCGCAAUGGGCGAAAGCCUGACGCAGCGACGCCGCGUGGGGGAUGACGGCCUUCGGGUUGUAAACCUCUUUUACCACCAACGCAGGCUUCCAGUUCUCUGGAGGUUGACGGUAGGUGGGGAAUAAGGACCGGCUAACUACGUGCCAGCAGCCGCGGUAAUACGUAGGGUCCGAGCGUUGUCCGGAAUUAUUGGGCGUAAAGAGCUCGUAGGCGGCGUGUCGCGUCUGCUGUGAAAGACCGGGGCUUAACUCCGGUUCUGCAGUGGAUACGGGCAUGCUAGAGGUAGGUAGGGGAGACUGGAAUUCCUGGUGUAGCGGUGAAAUGCGCAGAUAUCAGGAGGAACACCGGUGGCGAAGGCGGGUCUCUGGGCCUUACCUGACGCUGAGGAGCGAAAGCAUGGGGAGCGAACAGGAUUAGAUACCCUGGUAGUCCAUGCCGUAAACGUUGGGCGCUAGGUGUGGGGACUUUCCACGGUUUCCGCGCCGUAGCUAACGCAUUAAGCG
rnacentral:rRNA from 1 species